UGCUUUUAAGAAUGUGUUUUCAUGCUAUUUUAUUCUAUACAUAUAGUCUCCUUCCAGUUGAAUGGAGCCAUAUAUUUAUAGAACAUAUCAAAGCAAAAUAAAUCUGUUUCUAAGGUACUUGACCUCUGUACUAUUACAGGGAUGGGAACACUGGCAUAUAGGAUGAGGUGGUUGUGUCAAUAAUUGGGCAAAUGAAAAUGAUUGAUCCCCACUUGGUUUCAUUAUUUUUUUGGCAACAACAAAAGGGUAUAUUUGCAUGCUACAAUGGAGUUAGAAAAUAGAAAUUCCAAAGUAACAAAGGGAAGCAUUUAUUAGUUGAACAUCUUCAGACUCAACAUGUAUCAAUCCCUGCUGGAUUGCAAGUGCAAUAUACAUCUCUUGAGGUGAUAAAGGUAUGAAUUUGCAGCUUUUCUUCUACAAGCCUGGCUUAUGGUGGACGAAUAGGAAACAAUCCUUGUAAAUUGACCCAUUUAACUUGAAUGACGCAUUUUCCCUUGUAAGAGCAAUUUGAGAGUGAAGUAAAAGACAGUCCAAGAUGACUUUAGCUAACAAAAAUGGUUCCAAACAAUUAUUGCUAAUAAAUAAAAAUAUUUAAUGGGAAACUCUUAGUUGGUGAGAGCGGAAUCUUUUAUUUAUAUAUAUUCAGUGUGUGAGAGUGAGACAAGAGCAGUUGGCGACUGCUUUAAGACUGGCGGUGUGAAUGUGAGCAAAAAAGUCAAUUGCUUUCUCUCCAGGUUGCUUUUUCUGUCCA